rnacentral:siRNA from 1 species
GAUGGAAAAGGUGACUUGUCAUGC